AAAAUAAAACCCUUAAAAAAACCUAAAAACUAUUCUUCUCUGCCGCCCUUCAUCUCUCGCCUCUUUCUUUCUCUGGUCUCCUUUGAUUUAUUUUGUCUUUUGAUUUCUCAUUGUGUUAUUGAUUAACAGGAUCGAAGAAGUAAGACACAUAUAUGUAACAGACAUAUAUUAAUUACGGUUUUUGUUUUGCUUGAACAACAGUAUCGAGUUUUGUUAUUGCCUGAACGAUUUUUUGCUAUUGCAAACCCUAACCCCUUCUCUGUCAUCGUGCAUGUAUGAUUUUACUUUGCUUUUGUUUUGUUUCCUGAUCUAUAUCUUUGGAUUUCUAGGUUUGCAAUCAAAUUUCUGUAUAACUCAAGAAAGUUUGAUUUUUUUGUUUUUUUUUUAAUACUUAUGCUCAUGUUUUUUUUAAUGAGGGUUAUUUCGACAUAUUAUAGUACAAUAGUAUUGCUGCAUGUAGAUAUUGAUGCUGGAGUUGAAUAUUUUGCAGCGAAAGAAAAGAUGCAGCAGUUGUAGUGUGGCAGAUAUAUCCUAAUCGUUGGAAGUACUACUCAUGCCUUAUAAUAUGCAAGGUAACUCAUCGAGAUGUUUUGUUGGUUGUGGUGGAAGCAGUUGUUUGUAAGGUUGUCGAGUACGAUAUAAUUACUGCUCUUGCGAAAGGUUAACACUGUUGUUCUUGCUACUUCUGCGACUCAAUCGAUUAUUACUAAAACCCAAGAGAGGUGGAAGCUGUGGAAGCUGGUCUGAUGGAAUACAAACUAGACAUCAUCAUUAGUGUGCAUCCCCUUAUGCAACACAUUCCCUUAUGGGUGCUUAAAUGGCAGAGCCUUCAGAAGAAGGUUGUAUUUGUUACUGUUAUUACAGAUGUUAACACAUGCCAUUGCACACGGUGAUCUGUUUUACUCUUAUCAGUAUGACUUAAUGCCUCUGCUGCUCCCAUAUAUUCAAGAAUAGUUUUAAAUUGGCUUUCAAAUGAGUGAAAUAUUUUGCAAGAAGUAUAUUUUAGACCAUGCGUUUGAUGCACAUAAGAGGGAUCAGUUUAUUUAUAAUAUCAUACUUCGCUUGAGGAUGAUCUCUGAGCUUAUACAAUCAUCUUUGGUAUGAGUGAUAUCGCUGUUGCCUUGAGCUGUUGAAGCCUGCUAAGUGUUUGGUAUACUUGAGACGGAGUUAAAUGUUGGUAUUUGAAUUUUCGAAAGUAGAGAUGGUCGUGUCAUGGUUGGUGUUGCAAAACCAGGGUUUGCUGCAUGGUGCUGGGAAGAGAUAAUUGUCUAAUUCUUUAUCUAUGAACUGAACUAAAUAAAACCCAUUGUAGUUAAAUAUGAUUUAAAACUCGUUAAUUGAAAGUUUGGAUAUUUAUGUGUUUA